CCUACGUGCGGCAGCAGUGGGGAAUAUUGGACAAUGGGGGGAACCCUGAUCCAGCCAUGCCGCGUGUGUGAAGAAGGCCCUCGGGUUGUAAAGCACUUUCAGUGAGGAAGAACGCCUGGUGGUUAAUACCCAGCAGGAAAGACAUCACUCACAGAAGAAGCACCGGCUAACUCCGUGCCAGCAGCCGCGGUAAUACGGAGGGUGCGAGCGUUAAUCGGAAUUACUGGGCGUAAAGCGCGCGUAGGUGGCUUGAUAAGCCGGUUGUGAAAGCCCCGGGCUCAACCUGGGAACGGCAUCCGGAACUGUCAAGCUAGAGUGCAGGAGAGGAAGGUAGAAUUCCCGGUGUAGCGGUGAAAUGCGUAGAGAUCGGGAGGAAUACCAGUGGCGAAGGCGGCCUUCUGGACUGACACUGACACUGAGGUGCGAAAGCGUGGGUAGCAAACAGGAUUAGAUACCCUGGUAGUC
rnacentral:rRNA from 1 species